CCGCGCCCGCGCUACCUGGCGACCCCAGCUAGCGGCCGCCGCCCUCGGCGGCCGCCAACGACUGGCGCUCGCGACUGCCGGGCGCCGGAUCCACAUGCCACCGGAGAGGGGGAGAUCAUCUUGCUGGUGCUCAGUUUUGAAUCUUGGGAUGCACACAAUCUGUUUGACUAAAUGCUUCAGGUUGGAGACGAUCACGGUGGCUCCAGUGCUGGGGAUCGCAAGAGCUCCUUGGCAUUUCGUUAAGAACAUGGGCUGAGAAUGACAAUACAAACAAAAGGAAUUUUAAAGACUUCGACAAUAAUCAGCAUGUACAAUAUAUAUCUUUGUCCUAAGUUGUUUCUAUACAAUGAACUAUACAAAAUAUCGUGCCAUGUAUCACUUAUUGUUUGCUUGCUUACACAUAGGACUCGAAUGGUAGUAGCGAUGAUGACAAAUUGACAAUACCCCUUUGAAACAAACUAAAACAACACGCUCAUAAGGGAAGAUCAACCAGUAAGGCUAUCUCAAUCUAUGAUUCUCCCUUCAAGAUGUUCAUUCAAUUCAAUCUUGUUGUUGCCAUGUAUUUUAUUCAUUAGUUCGAAACUAUGUUUCUAGCACCAUAUUUUAUCUUUAUCAACAACCUGUUCUAGAUUCAAAACAUGAGAUUGACUUUAAUUCAUUUUUUAAAAAUGCUUCACAAUGUAAAAACUACAUAUCAAGUGGAUUGCUUUUGAACAGGAGCUAGCACCAGCUAUGUCUACAUAUGAACAAAUAGAAACUAUCUUUUGUUGUAUAUGACGCCUCUGAGAAGAAUGGUUAGACGAGCUGGAACUAAUAUCAACAAUGUGAAAAAAAGGUGGAUCUUUUGUUAUAAAUACUCCCUAGAGGAUCAGUUUCCACCUCAUCUGUUCUCGCUUUUGGACAGAAACUAUCUUUUGUUGUAUAUAACAGCUCUAAGAACAAUAGUCAGA